CUUGGUCAUUUAGAGGAAGUAAAAGUCGUAACAAGGUUUUCGUAGGUGAACCUGCGGAAGGAUCAUUAAUGAAUCUCGGGAGUCCCUCCUAACCGGAGAAGGCCCGCAUCAUUAUUUCACACACUUGUGCAUUUGCCCCCCUUUUAAUACCUUUAACCCUGUAUGCAUUUGAAACAGUCAUUGGUUACAAACAUGAUAAAUGAAAGAAAAACUUUCAGCAAUGGAUCUCUUGGCUCUCGCAUCGAUGAAGAACGCAGCAAAGCGCGAAAUGUAAUGUGAAUUGCAGAAUUCAGUGAAUCAUCGAAUCUUUGAACGCACCUUGCGCUCUCGGGUUAUUCCUGGGAGCAUGUUCGUUGGAGUGUCGCGUACCUCUCAACCCCGUCCCUUGCAAAAGGGAUCGUCUCAGGGUUUGGAUCGUGGCGCCCUUGCCCGGAAGCUCUCUGCUUCCUUGGGCUGCGCUGAAUUGCAACAAGCUGUACCUUUGUACUGGCGGUUUGACCCGUUGUCAUAAGCUCACACUUUCAAUGGGGACGUCGGUCGGGAUGGGCUUACCACAAAUCAAUCUAUACACUUUGACCUCCAAUCGAGCAGGACUACCUCCUGAACUUAAGCAUAUCAAUAAGGGGAGGAAAAGAAACUAACAAGGAUUCCCCUAGCAACGGCGAGUGAAGCGGGAACAGCUCAACUUUGAAAUCUGGCCCUUUCAGGGUCCGAGUUGUAGUCUCGAGAAGCAACAUCCGCGUCGGACCUUGGGUAUGUCGGUUGGAAUACCGCGUCAAUGAGGGUGACAAUCCCGUUUGUACCAAGGACGACCGUGCGCAUUGUGGUGUGCUUUCCAAGAGUCGAGUUGUUUGGGAAU
rnacentral:sRNA from 1 species